ACAAUGAUGAUGUCACUGAUUCUACUGCUGGCCACCCUGGGGCUCCUUGUUCAGGGUUCAUCAGGACAAAUCAUCCUGACUCAGUCUCCUGGAUCUCAGUCUGUUGUUCCAGGACAGGCUGUCUCUCUCAAAUGUAAAACCAGUACAAGUGUUAGUAGCUGGCUCAGCUGGUACCUUCAGAAACCUGGAGAAGCUCCUAAACUCCUGAUUUAUGCAGCUACAACUCGUCAGUCUGGAGUUCCAGAUCGUUUUAGUGGAAGUGGAUCUGGGACUGACUUCACUCUGACCAUCAGUGGAGUUCAGGCUGAAGAUUCAGGAGUUUAUUACUGUCAGCAGAGUAACAGCAGACCGUUCACACAGUGAUACAACGUCGUACAAAAACCUCCCUCAGCUGGAGAGGAACUGAUCUGACUCAACAGCUGCACUGAAACUAAAAGAGAGGUGUAUAAAAAAAACUUUUAGACAAUAAUUCAACACUAAAUAUUCUGUAUUUAAGCCAAACAUUUAUAAUCUAAUUGAACUAUUCUUCUGAAAUUCACAAAGUAUCAUAACACUAAAAUUGUAAAUUCUUAUGAUUUUAUAUCUUACAAUUUUUCAUAGGAACUUCAACAUACUUAACGAAAUAUCAUCUCAAUAAAAUCUAAUUUCAUUCAUCUAAUCAAAAUGACCAAUCAUGUCUAUAACAACAUGUAUAAAUAACUUAAUUUGUGUUUUUUAUUCCAGCAAACACAUUUAUUUCAUAAUGGAACCAAAAGGUUCAUGGAGUAAAUAAAUCAGCAACAUUUAAAUUAUUUCCUUUUAUCAUCUUUAGUUUUAUUCAAAUGAAAAGGUUCUUUGGAUAAACAAACAAUUACAAGAUUAAAGUUAUUACCAUUAAGACAGUUUUACCAGGGAUUUUGUUCCAAAAAGGUUUAUUAUUACAGAAAAAUCUGUAACGACAGCAGGAAAGGUUUUACAGUCAUGAAUGAAUUCAAAUUGAUUGUGA